UUUACUAAAAAUCAAUUAAUUGACUUUUUAACAUUCUUUUUGCUGUAGUACAUCAUUUUUAGCAUGUCCUAUCUACUACAGGUGAGAUUAUUCUGAUAAAGUACUUUAUAUGCCCAUAGUAUGCAUUUAUGACCUGAAAAUAUUCACUAAAAAUCAAUUAAUUGACUUUUUAACAUUCUUUUUGCUGUAGUACAUCAUGUUUAUCAUGUCCUAUCUACUACAGGUGAGAUUAUUCUGAUAAAGUACUUUAUAUGCCCACAGUAUGCAUUUAUGACCUGAAAAUAUUCACUAAAAAUCAAUUAAUUGACCCUUUAGGCCCCCAAACGCGAAGGCCUCCAAAUUUGUAAUCAAUAUGUUAUGAG